rnacentral:rRNA from 1 species
GACGAACCGUGCGAACGUUGUUCGGAAUCACUGGGCUUAAAGGGCGCGUAGGCGGGCGGCCAAGUCGGAGGUGAAAGCCUGCAGCUCAACUGCAGAAGUGCCCCCGAUACUGGUCGUCUCGAGGGAGGUAGGGGCAUGUGGAACUUCCGGUGGAGCGGUGAAAUGCGUAGAUAUCGGAAGGAACGCCGGUGGCGAAAGCGAUGUGCUGGACCUCUACUGACGCUGAGGCGCGAAAGCCAGGGGAGCAAACGGG